rnacentral:rRNA from 1 species
GGCGAACGCUGGCGGCGUGCUUGACACAUGCAAGUCGAACGGAAAGGCCCUGCUUUUGUGGGGUGCUCGAGUGGCGAACGGGUGAGUAACACGUGAGUAACCUGCCCUUGACUUUGGGAUAACUUCAGGAAACUGGGGCUAAUACCGGAUAGGAGCUCCUGCUGCAUGGUGGGGGUUGGAAAGUUUCGGCGGUUGGGGAUGGACUCGCGGCUUAUCAGCUUGUUGGUGGGGUAGUGGCUUACCAAGGCUUUGACGGGUAGCCGGCCUGAGAGGGUGACCGGCCACAUUGGGACUGAGAUACGGCCCAGACUCCUACGGGAGGCAGCAGUGGGGAAUAUUGCACAAUGGGCGGAAGCCUGAUGCAGCAACGCCGCGUGCGGGAUGACGGCCUUCGGGUUGUAAACCGCUUUCGCCUGUGACGAAGCGUGAGUGACGGUAAUGGGUAAAGAAGCACCGGCUAACUACGUG